GAUGAACGCUAGCGGCGUGCCUAACACAUGCAAGUCGAACGUGAGAGGGUACUUGUAUCCUUGAAAGUGGCGGACGGGUGAGUAAGACGUAGGUGACCUGCCUCGAAGUGGGGGAUAACCAUUGGAAACGAUGGCUAAUACCGCAUAAGCUGGUGAUGAUGGGAAUUGUUAUCAGGAAAGCUUUAGUGCUUUGAGAGGGGCCUACGGCCGAUUAGCUAGUUGGUGAGGUAAAGGCUCACCAAGGCGAUGAUCGGUAGCUGGUCUGAGAGGACGAUCAGCCACACUGGAACUGAGAUACGGUCCAGACUCCUACGGGAGGCAGCAGUGGGGAAUAUUGGACAAUGGGCGAAAGCCUGAUCCAGCAAUGCCGCGUGAGUGAAGAAGGCCGUUAGGGUUGUAAAGCUUCUUUUAGUAAAGGAAAUAAUGAUGGUACUUACAAGAAAAGACACCGGCUAACUCCGUGCCAGCACGCCGCGGUAAUGAUGA
rnacentral:rRNA from 1 species